CUACAUGAAGCUGGAGUUACUAGUAAUCGCAGAUCAGAAUGCUGCGGUGAAUGCGUUCCCGGGUCUUGUACACACCGCCCGUCACACCACGGAAGUUGGGGGCGCCCGAAGCCACUUAGCUAACCCUUUUGGGAAGCGAGUGUCGAAGGUGAAAUCAAUAACUGGGGUGAAGUCGUAACAAGGUAAC
rnacentral:rRNA from 1 species